GGGGUUGAUGAUCGUCUUCAUGGCGUCCGUCUGCGUUUUACUGACCAGCAUGAAGUGCAGGAGGAUGAAGAAAUUCAGAUAUGCAGCAGCACUGAGGCAUGAAGACACAGAGCUGCAGCCGUGGAAGACGUCCAGCGGACAAACCGACUGUGAGGCCAUUGAGGAGACAAUCCAUUACGCCUCUCUGGGCCGACAGAACUGGAGGGAAAGACCCGGCAGGACUCCAGCAGAUCAGAGUGUGAUCUACUCGUCCGUCAUCACCAGACCUGCUGCCAGAUAGAAACUCAAAAAUCCAUGUCUUUAAACUGUUUUUAC
ensembl:lncRNA